UACGUAGGGUGCAAGCAUUGUCCGGAAUUAUUGGGCGUAAAGAGCUUGUAGGCGGUUUGUCGCGUCUGCUGUGAAAUUUCGGGGCUCAACCCCGAACUUGCAGUGGGUACGGGCAGACUAGAGUGUGGUAGGGGAGACUGGAAUUCCUGGUGUAGCGGUGAAAUGCGCAGAUAUCAGGAGGAACACCGAUGGCGAAGGCAGGUCUCUGGGCCAUAACUGACGCUGAGAAGCGAAAGCAUGGGGAGCGAACAGG
rnacentral:rRNA from 1 species